AUUUGUAGUAGUAUGUUCUUCUGUUUUUUUAGUAGAUUUUGCUCUCAGUCUACAGUCAUCUGCUUUAUGCCAUCUAGAAUAUCCUCACUCUCUUAGUUUGCUGGUGAUUAUUGUGUAUUUCUCAUGCCUUUGAAUUGAAAAUAUAUUUAUUGUGUAAUUUCCUAUGGAUUUAAGGAGGGGAAUAUAUUUUUCUGGAAUUCUCUUUCUUUCUGAUAUGCUUUCUCCCUUUUUCUUUAUCAUCAAUGACUUACUCUACCUGCCAUUUAUCUUCACCUAUGAUUUAGAAGGAAAUUAUAACAUCGACCUGAUAGGAUUGCCAAGAAGAUUAACUGACAUAUUAUAUGCAAAGCACUUAGAACAAUGCCUGGCACAUGGUAGGUACAAUUAAAGGGCUUACUACUACUAUGAUUGCUACUACUUAUCUAUUACUCUUACUGUUGUGUGGUUGCUGUUUUAGGGAUUCACAGAAAUUCAAAAUAUGAAACUUUUACUUACUUUGGUUUUUCCUAUUCCACUUUGGUUUUCUUCUAAACCUAGAUUCUCUUAGAUCAAAAAAGUGAGCCAGAAGACACACACACACACACACACACACACAGAGAGAGAGAGAGAGAGAGAGAGAGAGAGAGAGAGAAUGACAGACAGAGAGAGAGAGACAGAGAGAGUGAGAGGAGAUAACUGUGCUGGACAUAGGAUCUGGCAAAGAUUUUAUAAGAAAUACUUCAAAAGCAAUUGCAAUUAAAAAUAAAUAAAUAAAAAUUGACA
rnacentral:lncRNA from 13 species